rnacentral:rRNA from 1 species
GUCGGGAGUUAGGAAAUGUAAAUCGGUUAAUACCUGGUUUAUUUGACAAAGGCCCCAAAGGAAGCCACGGCUAACUCUGUGCCAGCAGCCGCGGUAAUACAGAGGUGGCAAGCGUUGUUCGGUAUUAUUGGGCGUAAAGAGCACGUAGGUGGUUUUGUAAGUCAGAUGUGAAAGCCUUCUGUUCAAAGGAAGAACGGCAUCUAAAACUACAGAUCUUGAGUGUAGGAGGGGAGAGUGGAACUUCUGGU